rnacentral:rRNA from 1 species
GCGCAGGUGGUUCCUUAAGUCUGAUGUGAAAGCCCACGGCUCAACCGUGGAGGGUCAUUGGAAACUGGGGAACUUGAGUGCAGAAGAGGAAAGUGGAAUUCCACGUGUAGCGGUGAAAUGCGUAGAGAUGUGGAGGAACACCAGUGGCGAAGGCGACUUUCUGGUCUGUAACUGACACUGAGGCGCGAAAGCGUGGGGAGCGAACAGGAUUAGAUACCCUGGUAGUCCACGCCGUAAACGAUGAGUGCUAAGUGUUAGAGGGUUUCCGCCCUUUAGUGCUGCAGCAAACGCAUUAAGCACUCCGCCUGGGGAGUACGGCCGCAAGGCUGAAACUCAAAGGAAUUGACGGGGGCCCGCACAAGCGGUGGAGCAUGUGGUUUAAUUCGAAGCAACGCGAAGAACCUUACCAGGUCUUGACAUCCUCUGACAACUCUGGAGACAGAGCGUUCCCCUUCGGGGGACAGAGUGACAGGUGGUGCAUGGUUGUCGUCAGCUCGUGUCGUGAGAUGUUGGGUUAAGUCCCGCAACGAGCGCAACCCUUGAUCUUAGUUGCCAGCAUUCAGUUGGGCACUCUAAGGUGACUGCCGGUGACAAACCGGAGGAAGGUGGGGAUGACGUCAAAUCAUCAUGCCCCUUAUGACCUGGGCUACACACGUGCUACAAUGGAUAGAACAAAGGGCAGCAAAACCGCGAGGUCAAGCUAAUCCCAUAAAUCUAUUCUCAGUUCGGAUUGCAGGCUGCAACUCGCCUGCAUGAAGCC